rnacentral:lncRNA from 1 species
UCGAAAGCGAAGUUAAUGCUGAGGCUAACGCAAUACGCGGCAACCCCUCCAAUCAUUGCAGAUCAUUUUUUAAAUUUUAAAUUAUAUUUUUCCCAUGGAAAUGACUUUUUUUGGCUAAUAUAAAUAUCAUAAAAUAGCCUUAAAAAUAUUUUCACGGAAUUAUGUUUUUUAAUAAAAUUUUUGUCACAGUAUAAUCUUAAACCUGAAUUUUG